CACCAUCCUGUUUAUGCACAGUUUGUGUACAUCGGUCUUCUGUAAGGGAUCUUUCCCAUUUUUGCAUGGAGAGUACACGUGCUGCCACAGACAACUCUCUGUAAUGAAAGCGUUCUGAGGAUGGUAUAAUGCAAAGUGUUUUGGGUGUUUACACUGUACUUUUAACGAUAAGAAUAUAAGAACUUCAAUAUUUAACUAGUUAACUAAUUUACUCU